rnacentral:lncRNA from 1 species
UAUUUUUAUAAUUAUACAAGCUGGUUUCCAGUAGACCGUUUACUGACACUUUACAAAACCUAAGAAUCAAUUAUAGUAUAUGCUACAAUUAAUCUGUCUGAACUGCAUAUGCUUCGGGAUCCUCCAGAUGGCAUUCUUCCUUUGUUUUACCAUGAUGUUUUCUGGUAGUUUUUAUCCCACAUUUGUGUCUGCGUAGCUUCUUUUGGGGCACCGCACAGCACCCUUUUUGUAAUAAUCAUCUUUUCGAAAGUGACAAUAAUGCUAUAAUUAAUGAAUGACGAACUCAUAUCAUCAGUCAAAUGUUACUAAUUAAAAUCUGGAAUAGGCAGUUCUAUGUGUAUGCAUAUAAUAAUUAAGGCCAAGAAGAUGUUCUAUUCAUAUUCUUGAAGAAAAUGGCCAUCAUAAGUUUAUUUUUCUGCCUUAAAUAAUACAUUUUCAGUUGAAGAAACCAAAUGCUUGAUUUCAGACAGUUAACACAGAUAGAAAUGGACAAACAGCGGGAAACUUGCCUACAUAUAUACACCGAUGACCAGAGAUCGUACUCUUUCCAUGACUAUUUUAUAACAGAUAUGAUCUGAUCAAGUUUUAUCUCAUAGAUUAUGUAUCAUGUUUACCUUUUCAUUUACAGUUAUAUCUGCAACUGUAGCACACAUAUCUUACUCUUCAUAACUAGCUCUUUAAAUGGCAUCCAUUAAAGGAGGUGUUUACAAGUGAUUCAAGCUCAGCAAGAAAGAACGAAGCAAUUAAAUGUCAAAAAAGUUAAUUCAAAUAGAUCAUGGAGUUUAUUGCAUUGUAAGCACUUACACACGCUACUUACAUUCUGAAAUCUAAUUACUGCAUAACACAACCAUCAUUAGCGAAACCUAACCAGUUAUUCAUCGCAAUCAAUUAUUACAACAACACUCAUAACAAUUAGUAUUGAUCUUCUAAACCCGAAAACAAAUUAAAUCGACAAACUCAUGGCAACCAAAAAAGAGGGGGAAAACAAACACAUGAAAUUGAAGAUAAUUGUACAACUGGAAGUAAAAGAAAAAUAAAAUAGUGUAGUCGGACCAGGAGCUCUUGAUUCCCCUUGCAUGGAUGCCUCCAUGGACAAUUAUUCAUAGCUUGAAAAGAUUUUUAACUUCAUCAAAUGGCAGCUUGAAUGGCCACACAUCAUCUCAUGGAAACCAUAGAUAAACCUAAACUCCCUUUCUUGAAGCAAAGAAACGAAGAUAAGUAACCCCACAAAGUUGAAAAGAAGAAGCAUGGUGUGCGAACAUAGCAAGAGCAAUAGUAUAUCUACUCUAGUUAGUAGAGAAAAAGAAAGAGAAGGCUCAACAGACAUAUUUAUAUAUUACAAGUAGGGCAAAGGGCAAGCUUUUAUCUCCGAGGCAGCUGUAAUGCGUGUUGUGGUGCACGCAUACUGUAGAGAGCCAAGCAAGAGGCUAAUGUGCGUUAUAUUCCCGCAUGCAACGUUUCCCUUUUAAUAUACAGUGCCGGCACGACUCCACAGGAAAAAAAAAAUCAAAAACAAAAAGGAAAGAAAGAGAUGGAUAGUGAAUUAAGGGGAAAAUAGGCAAAGCAUGGUGCCCUUAAAGCUAGGUCUCCUUUUC